UUUGUUUCCAAUCAAACAUGAAGGACAAACUCACUCCCAAGACAAAAGGCAUUUCCUCACAAGGUUCAGAUAAAUCAGAAUUCAAGGAGAGGAGAGUCGAGGGUGAGCAAUCCCUCAAAAACCGACUAAAGAACAAUUAAGCAUUUGUCAAUAGCCCUACUUACUUCUGAAGGGCAGGCAUGGAGAACCUUGGAGCCAACAGCCAAAUAGUCCCUUGGAACCACCACAUUCGAACAUUACACUUUGCAGAAGAUGUAGUCCUGAGAGGAAGUCUAAAAGUCCCAAGUCGAAUGUUGGCAGAUGCCAGGGAAAUGGAGCAAGCUGAGUGCCACGGAGGUAAGAGUCCAUCCUGGUGAGAAGGCAGGCAGCAGGAACAAGAAGCCAAGAGGUUAUGUGGCAACCACAACACCAAACAGAGAGCAAACCAGAGCCCUCAAAGCCUGCUCCCAGUGACGCUUCUUCCAGCAAAGCCACACUUCCUAAAUCUCGCCCCAAACAGCACUACCAGCUGGGGACCAAUCGUUCAAAUGUGUGCACCUAUGGGGACUCCUUUUUCCUAUUCAGACCACUACCCUCCAGUAACUUCCAUAUAUUAGGAUCGAAUUCCUAUACUUUCCCAGAUCCCUGUACGUUCUAGUUCAUGUAUUCCUCCCCUCCCUUGUCUCUCUUAUUCCUCGUAGAAAGAGGUCCACCCUUGGCACGCUGGAUGGCCAAUUCCUGUUGCAGCUCAGAUGAGCUCUCUCCCUCGGAGACUUUUCUCAGGACACCUAAUGAGACCUGUGCCUUUCUACCUCCAUUCUCCAUCAAGCCUGCCUCCUUUCUUUCUCUCUUCUGCACCUUGCCAUGGUCUGAAUUGUCUUGCUGUUUGUUGCUUUGUUGGGAUCCAUUGCUGGUGGGCCCCCUCCACUGGAAUGUAAGUUCUAUGAAAGCCAGGAAUUUGGAUGUUCUUUAAUGCAUACCAGGCCCCGAGCAGCAGUAGGGCACUCAGAGUAAACCCACAGAAAAGGAUCUAGUAGUUACUACGGUUUGUAAGAAAACCCAAACAAUAAACAUUUCAAUUUUCAUGUAGCUGAGAAAAUUUA